rnacentral:lncRNA from 1 species
GCCUAAUGGGGUCUGACCUCACCCUGUUUGGAGGUGGCCUUGUAAGAGCAAGAGCAAGGUCCACCAGAGAACAUCUGUUAACCUCUUCCCCAGCUCUUAGAGAAAAGAGCUGGAACCACAAAUUUACAGACACUGCUGAGGCCUGGGACCACCCAGUGGGGAGAUCUCUGGUGGAGGGAGCAGAGGAAGGAAAGAGGAAGGAUAUCAAAGAGUUGCAGAGUCAGAGGAGAAGGGAUGGCCCCGAGAGCACUGACAAUGUGUGUGGUAUGGUCUCUGCCCAGGCCAGCAGCAAGGGAAUGGAGGAGGACUUCCCUCUCUGCACAAGAAGUGAAUCUGGAGAAGAGACACCUGGCGUAUUUAGAGAGCCAAUGGCUCCUUCAUCUCCAAAGGAAUCUUGGGAACUUGCUGCCAUACAGGAUGGUGAUCAGUUGGACUGCUGGAAUGCACAGGUUGAUUCCCUAAGAUUAUCUUUGGGCUUUGGGGACAUUUGCAUCACAUGUUAAAAACUGGUGAAAAUUCAUUUAAUUUUUUAAUUUUUAAUUUUUUUCUUUUGUCCUUUUAGGGCUGCACCUGUGGCAUAUUCCCAGGCUAGGGGUCUAAUGGGAGCUGUAGCUGCUGGCCUAUGCCAGAGCCACAGCAACGCCAGACCCGAGCUGUGUCUGUGACCUACACCACAGCUCAUGGCGAUGGCAGAUCCUUAGCUCACGGCGAUGCCGGAUCCUUAACCCACUGAGCCAGGCCAAGGAUCAAAGCCGCAACCUCAUGGGUCCUAGUUGGAUUCCUUUCCGCUGCACCAUGACAGGAACUCCUGAAAAUUUAUUUUUAUUUUAAAAUUUCUUACAAGUAUUUCAUCUGUCAUGAGAGAAAAUAAAAAAUUCCAAAGGGAAAAAUGCACACAUUGCUGUGCUCCAUGUCCGAAAAAGCAAAGUGAAUACUUAUCUGCUGCCAAUAUGCUUAAUUAGGGUAGACAAGGGAGGAAACACUUAAAAUUAUGGUUUUGAAAAAAGCCACUGAAGUAAAUAGGCAUGACAUUGAGUGGUCAGACAUCUAUUCCCAAAUUUUUUUUUUUUUUUUUUUUUGUCUUUUUAGGGCCAUACCCGCAGCAUAUGGAGGUUCCCAGGCUAGGGGUUGAAUCAGAGCUACAGCUGAUAGCCUAUGCCACAGCCACAGCAACACGGGAUCUGAGCUGUGUCUGCGACCUGUACCACAGCUCACAGCAAUCCUUGAUCCUUAACCCACUGAAUGAGGCCAGGGAUUGAACCUGCUCAUGCAUACUAGUUGGAUUUGUUUCCUCUAAGCCACAAGGGGAACUCCCUGAUUUUUUUUAAUGCAUCUUUUUACUAUGUUUGUUUUAUAAAAAGAGGAACUCAAAGAGACAAAGUGGGCAUUAAGUAUUUUUAUAAAAUAUUCUGUAGAUUUAACAAUGCAGCUCUUUAAAAUUUUUCACUCCUGUAAAACAGAGAGCAAGAUUUUAUUAUUAAUAGCGGAC